UUUCUCAUUCCAGCUUUCCUUCUCUUUGCUCCCUUUGUUGUAUCUCAGGUGAAUUGUAAUCAUGUGAUCAAACGAACACCCCCCCCCCCUUCCAUUACCCCCUUAAAUGAAAAAAUCAGGAACAAAAAGCAGUUCUGUGUAUAUAAAAAAAGAAAAGAGAAAAGACGCGCGUGUCUCGUCAGAGCGUCUUUCUCCUAGUGUCCCUUCAAACGCACAGAUAUACAGAAAAAUGCUGCGGCACCUUUCUCCCGCGCGCGGAUAUACGGCUCUCACCGCGCGCAUGCAGACGUCCUGCGGGGGGGAACUAAAUCUUCCACUCCGGUUGACUGCCCGGUUCCUCCGGAUUUGUGGCCUCAGCUCGACUUUGAAAAAGUACAGCCCCGUCUGAUCUGUCCUCACACUGCUGACACAGCCUCCUCUUUCUCUCUCUGCACCUGCACCUGGAGGACUGAAGAUAACAACAGUGUGUGGAUUGCCUUCCUGAACCGUAAGCUCCCGUGUUGACCUCCAGCUCCUGCUACCACUUGCUACUCCCUCUGGGAGUCCUGGAUGAUUCGGAUAUUGAUGAGCACACCUUCCAGCAAGUAAAGAGAGUUUUUACAUUGUGACAGCAUCCCUGCUUGUGAGCUAGGCACAGUUCAGGUCGGGGACAACGGUAAAGAUGAACAGUGAAGUCACAGUAUGAAAGAGUGGAGGAGAACAUGCAGAUGUGCGCAUAUGAAAGGUUCUACAAAGUGAUAUGUCUAGCUAACUACGAGAGGAAUCUCUAUAUUUGAAUGACCAGGUUUUAUUGAUUUUUAUUUAUUAUACAUUGCUCUUUUCUCUGAGUUCCCUGUGAUGUCAUCAGUCUGCUUGGAAAAAGAAGCAGAGUGGACUUCUGAGGAGCAGAAAGGAUUGUGUGCUAUUGUGAACUAGAGUUUGGUGCAGGAUCAGGAGUCAUAUUACACACUACAUGUGACUCUGUGGACUGAAUAUUGGAAGCUUUUUAAGGGUUUUAUUUUCAUAAUUUUUAUAGUGACUUUCCCUUUCCAUUUUUCUUUUUAUGCCUGGGGUUUAUCUGAAUUUUGUUUACCUGUAAUAAUAAAAUUCCUUGAUAAUACUGA